GGGUUGUGAGGUUAAGCGACUAAGCGUACACGGUGGAUGCCUAGGCAGUCAGAGGCGAUGAAGGGCGUGCUAAUCUGCGAAAAGCGUCGGUAAGCUGAUAUGAAGCGUAAUAACCGACGAUACCCGAAUGGGGAAACCCAGUGCAAUUCGUUGCACUAUCGUUAGAUGAAUACAUAGUCUAACGAGGCGAACCGGGGGAACUGAAACAUCUAAGUACCCCGAGGAAAAGAAAUCAACCGAGAUUCCCCCAGUAGCGGCGAGCGAACGGGGAGGAGCCCAGAGUCUGAAUCAAGUGGUGUGUUAGUGGAAGCGUCUGGAAAGUCGCACGGUACAGGGUGAUAGUCCCGUACACCAAAACACACUGCUUGUGAACUCGAUGAGUAGGGCGGGACACGUGACAUCCUGUCUGAAUAUGGGGGGACCAUCCUCCAAGGCUAAAUACUCCUGACUGACCGAUAGUGAACCAGUACCGUGAGGGAAAGGCGAAAAGAACCCCGGCGAGGGGAGUGAAAUAGAACCUGAAACCGUGUACGUACAAGCAGUGGGAGCACCUUCGUGGUGUGACUGCGUACCUUUUGUAUAAUGGGUCAGCGACUUAUAUUUUGUAGCAAGGUUAACCGAAUAGGGGAGCCGUAGGGAAACCGAGUCUUAACUGGGCGUCUAGUUGCAAGGUAUAGACCCGAAACCCGGUGAUCUAGCCAUGGGCAGGUUGAAGGUUGGGUAACACUAACUGGAGGACCGAACCGACUAAUGUUGAAAAAUUAGCGGAUGACUUGUGGCUGGGGGUGAAAGGCCAAUCAAACCGGGAGAUAGCUGGUUCUCCCCGAAAGCUAUUUAGGUAGCGCCUCGUGAACUCAUCUUCGGGGGUAGAGCACUGUUUCGGCUAGGGGGCCAUCCCGGCUUACCAAACCGAUGCAAACUCCGAAUACCGAAGAAUGUUAUCACGGGAGACACACGGCGGGUGCUAACGUCCGUCGUGAAGAGGGAAACAACCCAGACCGCCAGCUAAGGUCCCAAAGUCAUGGUUAAGUGGGAAACGAUGUGGGAAGGCAUAGACAGCCAGGAUGUUGGCUUAGAAGCAGCCAUCAUUUAAAGAAAGCGUAAUAGCUCACUGGUCGAGUCGGCCUGCGCGGAAGAUGUAACGGGGCUAAACCAUGCACCGAAGCUGCGGCAGCGACGCUUAGGCGUUGUUGGGUAGGGGAGCGUUCUGUAAGCCGUUGAAGGUGGUCUGUGAGGACUGCUGGAGGUAUCAGAAGUGCGAAUGCUGACAUAAGUAACGAUAAUGCGGGUGAAAAACCCGCACGCCGGAAGACCAAGGGUUCCUGUCCAACGUUAAUCGGGGCAGGGUGAGUCGACCCCUAAGGCGAGGCUGAAAAGCGUAGUCGAUGGGAAACAGGUUAAUAUUCCUGUACUUGGUGUUACUGCGAAGGGGGGACGGAGAAGGCUAGGCUAGCCGGGCGACGGUUGUCCCGGUUUAAGCAUGUAGGCGGAGUGACUUGGUAAAUCCGGUUGCUUAUCAACGCUGAGGUGUGAUGACGAUGCACUACGGUGCAGAAGUAGUUGAUGCCAUGCUUCCAGGAAAAGCCUCUAAGCAUCAGGUAACAUGAAAUCGUACCCCAAACCGACACAGGUGGUCAGGUAGAGAAUACUCAGGCGCUUGAGAGAACUCGGGUGAAGGAACUAGGCAAAAUGGUGCCGUAACUUCGGGAGAAGGCACGCUGGCGCUAGGUGAAGAGACUUGCUCUCGGAGCUGAAGCCAGUCGCAGAUACCAGCUGGCUGCAACUGUUUAAUAAAAACACAGCACUGUGCAAACACGAAAGUGGACGUAUACGGUGUGACGCCUGCCCGGUGCUGGAAGGUUAAUUGAUGGGGUCAGCCGCAAGGCGAAGCUCUUGAUCGAAGCCCCAGUAAACGGCGGCCGUAACUAUAACGGUCCUAAGGUAGCGAAAUUCCUUGUCGGGUAAGUUCCGACCUGCACGAAUGGCGUAAUGAUGGCCAGGCUGUCUCCACCCGAGACUCAGUGAAAUUGAACUCGCUGUGAAGAUGCAGUGUACCCGCGGCAAGACGGAAAGACCCCGUGAACCUUUACUAUAGCUUGACACUGAACAUUGAGCCUUGAUGUGUAGGAUAGGUGGGAGGCAUCGAAGUGUGGACGCCAGUCUGCAUGGAGCCAACCUUGAAAUACCACCCUUUAAUGUUUGAUGUUCUAACUCGGCCCCAUAAUCUGGGGUGAGGACAGUGUCUGGUGGGUAGUUUGACUGGGGCGGUCUCCUCCCAAAGAGUAACGGAGGAGCACGAAGGUUAGCUAAUCACGGUCGGACAUCGUGAGGUUAGUGCAAAGGCAUAAGCUAGCUUGACUGCGAGAGUGACGGCUCGAGCAGGUACGAAAGUAGGUCUUAGUGAUCCGGUGGUUCUGAAUGGAAGGGCCAUCGCUCAACGGAUAAAAGGUACUCCGGGGAUAACAGGCUGAUACCGCCCAAGAGUUCAUAUCGACGGCGGUGUUUGGCACCUCGAUGUCGGCUCAUCACAUCCUGGGGCUGAAGUAGGUCCCAAGGGUAUGGCUGUUCGCCAUUUAAAGUGGUACGCGAGCUGGGUUUAGAACGUCGUGAGACAGUUCGGUCCCUAUCUGCCGUGGGCGUUGGAAGAUUGAGAGGGGCUGCUCCUAGUACGAGAGGACCGGAGUGGACGAAUCACUGGUGUUCGGGUUGUCAUGCCAAUGGCAUUGCCCGGUAGCUAAAUUCGGAAGAGAUAACCGCUGAAAGCAUCUAAGCGGGAAACUUGCCUCGAGAUGAGUCUUCCCUGGGGCUUCAAGCCCCCUGAAGGAACGUUAAAGACGAUGACGUUGAUAGGCUGGGUGUGUAAGUGCAGCGAUGCAUUGAGCUAACCAGUACUAAUGAUCCGUGAGGCUUAACCUUACAACACCAAAGGUGUUUUG
rnacentral:rRNA from 1 species